CAUGCAAGUCGAACGGUAGCACAGAGAGCUUGCUCUCGGGUGACGAGUGGCGGACGGGUGAGUAAUGUCUGGGAAACUGCCUGAUGGAGGGGGAUAACUACUGGAAACGGUAGCUAAUACCGCAUAACGUCGCGAGACCAAAGUGGGGGACCUUCGGGCCUCAUGCCAUCAGAUGUGCCCAGAUGGGAUUAGCUUGUAGGUGAGGUAACGGCUCACCUAGGCGACGAUCCCUAGCUGGUCUGAGAGGAUGACCAGCCACACUGGAACUGAGACACGGUCCAGACUCCUACGGGAGGCAGCAGUGGGGAAUAUCGCACAAUGGGCGCAAGCCUGAUGCAGCCGUGCCGCGUGUAUGAAGAAGGCCUUAGGGUUGUAAAGUACUUUCAGCGAGGAGGAAGGCGACAAGGUUAAUAACCUUGUCGAUUGACGUUACUCGCAGAAGAAGCACCGGCUAACUCCGUGCCAGCAGCCGCGGUAAUACGGAGGGUGCAAGCGUUAAUCGGCAAUUACUGGGCGUAAAGCGCACGCACGCGGUCUGUCAAGUCGGAUGUGUAAUCCCCGGGCUCAACCUGGGAACUGCAUCCGAAACUGGCAGGCUAGAGUCUUGU
rnacentral:rRNA from 1 species